rnacentral:tRNA from 1 species
GCCUCCGUGGCCUAAUGGAUAAGGCAUCGGCCUCCUAAGCCGGGGAUUGCGGGUUCGAGUCCCGCUGGAGGUG